rnacentral:rRNA from 1 species
CCCAGAAGUGGGGGAUAACGUAGCGAAAGUUACGCUAAUACCGCAUACGAUCUACGGAUGAAAGUGGGGGACCUUCGGGCCUCAUGCUUUUGGAGCGGCCGAUAUCUGAUUAGCUAGUUGGUAGGGUAAAGGCCUACCAAGGCGACGAUCAGUAGCUGGUCUGAGAGGACGACCAGCCACACUGGGACUGAGACACGGCCCAGACUCCUACGGGAGGCAGCAGUGGGGAAUUUUGGACAAUGGGGGCAACCCUGAUCCAGCAAUGCCGCGUGUGUGAAGAAGGCCUUCGGGUUGUAAAGCACUUUUGUCCGGAAAGAAAACCGCUUCUCUAAUACAGAGGCGGGAUGACGGUACCGGAAGAAUAAGCACCGGCUAA